rnacentral:lncRNA from 1 species
AGAAAAACAGAGCCAUCUUUUUCAUAUUGAAAUUUAUAACCAAACUUUUAUACAAACCAUAAAUCACUUCAUAACUAUUCACAUCAAAAAGGAGAUCUCAAAAGAAGAUAAACUCUCAGCCAUCCGGGCCGUACUCAAGGCCCCUCUCGGGACUAUCUUCUUCUUCCAAAAAUCCUUCUCUUCAAAUCUCACCUCCAAGUUCUCCUUCUCGGAUUUCUCCUCCUCAGCUCUUCAGCGGGGUCCUGAAAUGGUUUCCCCAAACUGGGAUGAGACUACGUCUCAGCGAGUUCUACCCCACUAAGCCCGAUUAGUAAACUAUUAUACUAAAGGCUGCCUAUACACGCACUGGGCAGAAGACGUACCGUGGCCUCAUAUCCCACCUGCAAGUCAGUAUAAUUCAUAAUAGGCACACAAUCAAUCAUAUCACCGAUCGAAGCAUCGAUCAAAUCGACCUAGUCGAUUACAAGCCAAUAAGACCACUCACGGUUCUUUUCAAUCAGUCAAUCAAUUCACAACAUCAAAUCAAAGCAAUGAUCAAUCGACCACGUCGAUUACAUGUCAGCUUGACCAUUUCCCGGUCAUUCAAGCUAUUGCUAUUCAGACUCAAUUAACAAAACCAAUCACCGAGCCAUGUGCAUUCUCCGAGGUAAUGAAUUACUUUACCGAGCCCACGUGCCCUUUAAUGCCAUUAUGAAUCAGCGAGCCCACGUGCAUUCUCCGAGGCGAUGCAUCGAGUCACUGAGCCCACGUGUCUCUUCAAGAUGCCAAAUGAACUCAUUGGGACCACGUGCAUUCUCUGAGGUAAUGCAUCAAAUUACCGAGCCCACGUGUCCUUUUAGAUGCCAAAUGUACUCAUUGAGACCACGUGCAUUCUCCGAGGUAAUGCAUCAAAUUACCGAGCCCACGUGUCUCUUCAAGAUGCCAAAUGAACUCAUUGGGACCACGUGCAUUCUCCGAGGUAAUGCAUCAAUGCAUCAAAUUACCGAGCCCAUGUGUCCUUUUAGAUGCCAAAUGUACUCAUUGAGACCACGUGCAUUCUCCGAGGUAAUGCAUCAAAUUACCGAGCCCACGUGUCUCUUUUAGGAUGCCACACUUAAUCACCGAGCCACAUGCAUUCUCCAAGGCGACAUACUUCGUCACCGAGCCAUGUGCAUUCUCCGAGGUGAUAUAUCUAAUCAUCAAGCCCCGUGCAUUCUCAAAGGUGACGUACUAACCAUCGAGCCACAUGCAUUCUCCGAAGUGAUAUACCAAAUCACUGAGCCACGUGCCUUUCAUGAUGAUUCAUCCCAUUUCUAAAGUAAUUAUCCACAAUUAAAUCCAUUCAGCACAAAUUAAAGCUCAAUUAAAUAAACGGACUGUGCCACGACGAUCAGCACGAGAUUUCGGUCGUCGGCCAUCUCCAACUUAAUUUCCGAAAAAUAAAUAAAUAAUUAAUUAAUUUCAAAAAUUAAUUAUUAAAUAUUAAAAAUUCCGUUUAGCUCAAAUUAAGGUCCAAUUAAAUAAAUAGACUUCACCGUGGUCACCAGCAUAAUUUUCCGAUCACGGACCAUCCCAGUUGCAUUUUCAGGAAAUAAAUAAAUAAUUAAUUAAUUUCGAAAAUUAAAUAUUAAUAUUAAAAAUUCUUAGCUCAAAAAUAAAGCCCGAUUAAAUAAACGGACUAUAAAUAAAUGGAUUGCGGCAUGACGAUCAGCAAGAGAUUUCGGUCGUCGGCCAUCUCCAACUUAAUUUCCGAAAAUUAAUUAAUUAAUUAAUUAAUUUCGAAAAUUAAUUAUUAAAUAUUAAAAAUUCCGUUUAGCUCAAAUUAAGGUCCAAUUAAAUAAAUGGACUUCACCACGGUCAUCAGCAUAAUUUUCCAAUCACGGGCCAUCCCAGUUGCAUUUUCAGGAAAUAAAUAAAUAAUUAAUUAAUUUCGAAAAUUAAAUAAUUAAUAUUAAAAAUUCUUAGCUCAAAAAUAAAGCCCGAUUAAAUAAACGGACUUCACCACAGUCAUCAGCAUAAAUUUUCGGUUCCGGACCAUCUCCCUUGAAUUUUCGGAAAAUAAAUAAUUAUUUAAUUUAAUUCCGAAAAUUAAUAUUUAAAUGCCAAAAAUCCCACUUAGGCCCGAAUCGCCAAAUUGAAGCCCGAUUAGGGGUCGGAAAAUUCCCAAGAUGCUUCCAAUAAAUAGUAGACCACGUCUACUUGUUAAUUGCACAAUCAAUUUAUUUAAAUCGCAUCACAAUUGACUAAUAAUUACUAAUUUAUUCUAAUCUAACAACUUAAACAUAAUUAAUUAAAACUAAACCAACCUUAAGCAUAAUUAGCCAACUAAUUCAGGAUUAGUGAGAUUACUCACCAAAUCGUGCGCAAAUCGGAUCAAUCCGAUGGCGGUGACGUGAGGAACGAUUGUUCUCAAAGCACGGCUCGGGUUCGGGGCCGAGAAAUGGCCCAAAAGCGGGCCCAAAGAUGCUGAAACCCACUCCGUGGGUCUGCUGGACGGAGCCGAUCGGGGCUGCUCUGGCGGCUAGGGCGGCGAGGGGAAGCUGGCGGAGGGCAAGGGGGUCGCAGGGGGGUGGUCCGGCGGGCUAGGCGGUGGCCGGAGGUGGCCGGACGGUGGCUGGUCGGUGCGGAACAGGGGCGAACAGCGGCUGGUUCGCGCGGCCUGGGCGUGCGCGGACAGUGGAACGGCGGCGAGCGCACGGGCGCGGCGCGGGCGGCGGUGCGGCGGCGGGACGAGCGGCGAGCGGGCGGCGGUCACGGCGACGGAGCUGCAGCUUCUGGUCUUCCUUCGCUUCUGGUUCGCUCGAACGGAAGGGGGAAGGAAAUGUCGAGGGAGAGAGAUGAGAGAGAGGAGGGGAGAUAAACAUUGACUGGUCAAAGGGGAAAAAGAAAGAGAGAGAGAGAGAGAAUGGGCGGUGGGGGCAAUUCGCA